rfam:Triticum aestivum genome assembly, contig: Triticum_aestivum_CS42_TGACv1_scaffold_376154_5AL
CUACUACUCCCUCCGUUCCGAAUUGCUUGUCUUAGAUUUGUCUAGAUACGGAGGUAUCUAAAUCCAAGACAAGUAAUUCGGAACGGAGGGAGUAGUAC